ensembl:lncRNA
GCAGUGUGGUAGAAGGCGCUUCCCCCAUACUUGGAGUCAGACAGCCCUGCGUCCGAAUGAGGCUCCUUUGCCUGCAAGUCCUGUGACCUAGGCCAGUUUCCUUAGCCUCCGUCACCUAACCUCAGUCUGCCCAUAUGUAAAAUAGCUCAUACCUUCUGCAGGAACGAAGCUCCACGAAGGCAGGGAUGUUCGUCUGUCUGUUUGCUCCUGUGUUCCAGUACCUGACGUAGAUUUCUCUGGGGACUGUGUUGACAACAGUGAAGGGAGACAAAGAUGGAAGCAGAAGACCCACUGUGAAGACUUGGUGACAACGGGGUGAGAGGGGACGGCGCUCAGACUUGGGUGGCAGAGGAGGUAAGACGUGGUCAGACUCUGAACAUCUUUUGAGGGAAGAACCAACAAAAUUUGCUGACAGAUUGGAAGGGCAAUGUGAAAAAGAGAGAGGAGUUAAGAAUGACUUCAAGGAUUUUGGACCUGAGCAAAUGGAAAGAGUGAGCUGUCAUGAACGGAGGUGAGAAAGACGACAAGAGAAAGGAUUUGGGGAUGUUUGGUGAGGUAGGGGUCAGGAAGCUGGUUUUUGUCAACAUGUUCAAUGGGAGAUGCCUGAAGACACCCAUGGGAUGUGCUGAGCAGCAGGGGAGAGGCUGGGCUGGAGAGACACUUGGGACCAACAGUGUAUAGAUGGUAUUUGAAGCCAGGAGGCUGCGGGAGGUCACAGAGGAGUGAGGGUGGGGACGGAAAAGAAGAGGGCUGAGGACCGGGCCCUAGGCCUCCUGUGCAAAGUGUUGGGGAAGGUGGAGAGUACUCAGCAAAGGAGACCGAGGUGAAGCCACCAAGAUAGGAGGGGAAUCCAAAGAUCGCUGUCCUGACAGCCAAGUGCAGAAAGAGCUUCCGGGAGGAGGAAGUGAAUGGUGUGUCCAGUGCUCUGUCAGCUCCGUUAAGAUCCAGACUGAGACUUGACCAUCAGAUUUACGGAGAGGGGUCACUGUUGACUUUAACAAGAGCCCUGUGGAGGAAGGGCGGGGGUGCGAGCCUGACCAGAGUGCCUCCAAGAGCAAGAGAGAGGAGAAGAUUGGGAAUUAGGGCAGGUACUUGACUCUGAGGAGCAAAGAAGCAGAGUGACAGACGGAAGAGGAUGUGGGCUCAAGAGACGGGUGUGUGUGUGUGAGAGAGACAUAUCAGCGCGCCUGCAUGCUGAUGAGAAUGAUCAAGUCUUGAGGAGACCUUCAGGAUGCGGGUGAAGAGGAGAGACUUGCUGGAGCCAUGGCCUUGAGAGAAUGAGAGCAGACGGCAUCCCGCGCCCCGUGGAGGAGGGGUGUUUGCUGGGAGCACAGGCACACAGCUGUACAAUGGAAGAGCGGUCCCCGCAGAGGGCAGAGGAGGCGGGGCGGGGCGUUCCCAGAGCCAGCACAGGGUGAGAGACACCCACGUUCCAUAGCAGGGACAUGUGCAGGCAUUUGCUCUCGGCUAUUUACAUACAUUAGCUUCAAAUUCUUGCAACAACCCAAUGAGAUAAAUGCUGUCACUGUGCCCAGUUUAGGUAGAAUACUGAGGCAUAGCAAUGUUCAGAAUUUUGUCCAAAGUCACACAAGUAGCAAUCGGCAUAGUCUGGCUGAUGACCCCUGCUCGCUGUACCAGGAUGAACGGAGGGACGACGGCUCAGCGGCAGCUGGACGAGAAGCUGCAGAGUUUGGUGAACCCAGAGCUGCGAUGAACUGACUGGUUUCUCCUUCUGAGAUGUCUGCUCAUUUGCAGGGCACUUUUCAGUCAUUCCCAACCGAGUCAGGAGGCCAGCAGGCAGAGGCGGGGCCAGGUCAAGCUCCCAGUGUGGCCUUGGUGCAGUCCGGAGUAUCGUUCCUCCCCACGGCCAUACAUUUUCCAUUGAUUCCCACAGGGAUUAUGGUGGCGUUUCCUCUCCUUUCCCUUCAAAGACACUCCUAGGAGCCUGAGCUCCUGGAUUGCAGUCCCCCGUCUUCCUGAGGAAGGGAAGGGAGGGAGGACAUGUUGAGGUGGCGUAGAACUGGUUCUGGCGCAGGCUGGCUGACUCGCUGCAAUCCUCUGGGCCUUGGCUGCGCGAGGCAGACAGGCCAGGCUGGGAUCUUCGUUCAUGGACUCCCGUGUUCCGUCAGCACACGGGUACCGCGUGCAGCUGUGUGCCGGCAUAGCACAGGGCACUGAGAUACGACCACCAGCACGAAGGGUGCGUCCUGCCUUUGUGAGCGUGCAGUCUGUGGGGGCGGGGUGAGGGGAGGCACUGAUAGCCACACGACUCUAAACGGGAUGCACGCUCUGAAGGAAUUUCCCAGCAUGCUGUGAGAGUCCCCUUUCCUGAGCACUUGUGUAAUGUGUGGGAAAUCUGACUGAGGCUUGACCACAAAACAAAACUGUCUUCAUUCAUUGUUCAUUCAUUCAUUCCUUCAAAAAAUUGUAACGAGCACCUGCCUUCUGGAGCAGUGGCUUUGUGUUUUGCAUUCCCCAACGAAGGGAUAAAUCAAGGCUGAUAGGAAGAUAUGACAUGAAAUGGGGCUGGGAACAAGUUUAUUUGGUCAACCAAAUUCAAGAGACAUUCGCUAUGUUUUGCUGUGGGCCCGGCGCUAGGACAUGAGUGUGUCGGGGUCAGGACGUGAUGGUGUCUGCCCUCAGGGAGCUCUUGGGGAACCCUGGGGUCUAAGUCUUGGGCAGAGGGGAGUAAGCUGGACCAGGGUGAGCCCACUGGGGUUUGAAUCUGGGCUUCACCACACAAGAGUAUAAGACCUAAGGGGAAUUUUGAAACAUUCUGUAGCCUCCAUUUUCUCAUCUGUAUAUAAAAAUAAGGACAUUUCUCAAUAUUAUUAUAUACUGUGCUAAGCACUGAGCGUGCACUACUUCAUUGACCCACAUAACAGCCUUAGAGGUAUGUUCUUUCCUUUCUCCAUUUAACUGAUGGGGAAACCGAAGCUCAGAAACGAAAAGAGAUGCUGAUGUCAUAAUGCUGCCAAGGGCUCUCUUUUAUUCUCACAAGAUAUAGGACAGGUGGCUGACAGAGACCCCACAACCCUCAGGCAACGUGGGCUCCAAACUUGUCUGAUCCAUCAUCUCUCUUAGAAACGCUACAAAACAUGUCCUCAUCGAUCUUGUUUAUUUAGAAACAAAGACCUGUCCUACCAUCCGUCUACAUGGCAAAGAUUCACUUCUUAUCUUGGAUAAAAUCAAAUAUACAUAAAGAUUGCAUCUAAACAUAAAUACAGAUACAAUUGCUCCCUGCCCCCCAGUGAGUCACUGAGCACUUGGAGACCAUGCUCCCAGAUCACUUCACGGGGGACAAUGGUGCCCAGAGAGGCCAAGCAACUUGUCCAGUUGCUCAGUGGCAGUAGACCGCUGGGGAGAUUUUGCCCCCAGGUGACACUGGGCAAUAUCUGGAGACAUUUUUCAUUGUCGUGACUGAUGUGUGGGGUGAAAGGGAUGCUGCUGGAACCCAGUAGUAGAAGCCAGGAAUUCUGUUAAGCCAGGAGCCCACAGUGCACAGGACAGACCCCCACAGCAAAGGAUUACCCGGCCGCAAAUGUGAAUAGCACCAAGGCUGAGAAACCCUGGUCUCAGCCCUCUGGGGCCAGGUGGCCUGAGUGUGAAUUUGGGCUCUGUUGCUGGCUGGCAACCGUGAGCACAUUACUUAACCUCUGACCUCCAGUUUUUUCGGCUGAAACGGAGGUUAAUAAUACCAGUGUGGGAAGACGGUGGCAUUAAAUGAGACCCUUUCUAUGCGAAAGGCCAAGGGUUAAUUCUCAUCUUGUUCUCCCACGCCCCUGUCCUCAGUGGUCUCAGCUCUUCCGUGAAGUUGACUUAUUUCCCAGGGCGACUGGGAAGGGUCGGCCGAAAGCCGCCAAGGGCAUUGGAAGCUACACAAGCGCUCUAAAUGCUAAGGAGCCAGGCCAAUCGGUCAGAAAGUUCCAACGCGGGUUUCCAUGUUGCAAGACCUGAGGCAGCGCCCAGGAGAGGGCGCGAGCUGGGGGUGUCUGUGAGCUGCGGGUGCCAGUGGGAGGGGUAAGUUCAGUCUGUCUACAGCAGGGCGGCAGCCUCCCUCCUUCUGUCCCACCUCUUCUCUGAACAUUUCCUGCUCCACUUCUUGGAACUGUCUCUCCCUUCUUUCUUUCCUUUCUUGCCUACUUCCUUCCAGUGAACAGACUUCAGACAUCAUCACACAGAGACAACCCAGUCCUGACCAUCACUGUAGACAGACAUAGAAACAGACCCUUGCAAUCCGUGUCCUGGUACAGAGGGGCGCCAGGAAGGAGGUGGUCCAGCCUAUCUGAGAAUGGAGAGAGGGUUUGGGAAAAAGGUUCUUGGAGGUGUGGCUGGAGCUGUGAGACCCAGCCCCCAUCUCUAACCAGGUUAGAUGCCUCUGCUACCAGGUUGUCAGUAGACUGUAGGCAUCGUGUGGGCAGGGACUUCUAUUUUGUUCCCUGUUGGAGCCUCAGAGCCUGGAAUGGUGCCUAGCAUAUGGUGGGCACUACUACAUAUUUGUGGAAUGAAUAAACAGUGUUUAGAAAUUUGCCAAAUGGGCCUGGGAGAGAAGGGAAGGGCAUUCGGAGCACGGGGAACAGAACUAGCAAAGGCAGGCAAAAGAUGAGAAUUAUGAAAGAUAUAGGAGGAAAUGCUGGGGAUGGUUAGUGAGCUGGGCACGUGGCCCCAGCCCAGGGCUGGUAGCAGAGGCCUUGCAUGUGUGCGGCAAGUCAUUGUAAGUUAUCCGAAGAUGAGAGGAUAUUUUUUUCAGGGAAAGGGUGCAUUAAGAAAGAAAGAGUUGGGAAGGGCAUGACAGCACUCAUUCAGCAACAUUUACUGAGUGCCUGUGAGGUUCCAGGCACUGCGCUAGCCUGGGAGAGAGAUAGCAGGGGCCAGAACCAGUGGGGAUGGGACUCAGGAGCUAAGCUUCGCACAGCACUGAGUGAGCGCCUGCUGCCUGACUGGGGGUGGGCUGGAGGAGGCUGCUGGGGGAAGGGCCAGUCAAGCAGGACUCUGUGGUUUUAUGCCACAGGAACUGACAGGGUGCUGGAGUCAUCGAGGAAAAUAGAGACUACAGAAAGAAACGGGUUGGAGUAGAAAGUGCACUGUGUGACUUUGGGCCAAUUCCUUCUGUGAGCCUUAGUUACUAUUUUUAACAUUAUCAUGAUUACAAACCAGGCAUAGGAGCUUUAUGUACCCAUUUCAUUUAAUCCUUAUAACAUUUCUGCAAAGGAGAUAUUCUCUCCCCCAUUUUACAAAUGGAGAAAUUGAGGCACAGAACUUUAAAUGAUUUCCCAAGGUCAUAGAGCUAGUAAGAUGCUGGGAGAAGCAACAGCGGCAUUGAAGGAUGUCAGACUCCCAAUCCAUUCCUUUCUCCCUCCACCCAGCUCCAAGAAGCUCACCUCAGACACUGGCCUCCAGGCCACCAGCUUAAUCUUGAGAGGUCCAAACUGCUGCUGGAGCCAUCCGGGCUCCCCGGGUCUGCGCUGGGGCAGCGGGUCCGAGCCCCCUGCGGCUAGAAGCUGCGCUCUUCUCAGGACCAUUCCCCACAGACCAUUCCCUCGGUGGAGCCUGGAAAGAAGGUUAAAGGCGACUUCUGCACGUCAGUCAAGAGGCUCCUUCUUGCGAGUGUGACAUCUUAGCCUGAGCGAGGCCGUGCCCAUCUCUAACACAGGGCGGCUGCCAGCGCGUCUCGGGAGGAGCCGGGAAAGACUGCAGGCACCUGCAUGGGGCUUCUCGCGUGGCGAGUGCUCGAUCCACGGAGGAGACACUGGAGGGGUGGCCGGGCCCACAGGCCCCCGGGAGGCAGUUUGCUCUCCUUCAAACCCCAGUUCAUCACAGCUCACACCAGCUGUGACAUGUGGGGCAGGUCUUAAUCUCUUAGUGCCUUGGUUUCUUGAUCUGUAAAACUGGUGUAAUAACAGAAUCUACUCUGUAGGGUAGUAGCAGAGAUGAAAGGAAUGGAGAUGAGAGAUGCCUGAUGCACUCAGAACACCGCCUCCUACCUCCCCAGUGGAACGGCCCAAGGACUCCUGCCCAUGCCUUUCUCAGAAACCAGCCCCCCCACAAAGGAGGAGGAGUCAUUGCGAGCAGGCUCCAACGAAGAGGAAGGGAAUAGUGGCUUUGAUUCAUUCUUUUCUCCAACGUUUUUUUAUUGAGCAUUUAAUUUGCAGCAUGUCAAACACUUAGGUGCCAGGGAGGCUCCACAAGCAAGACGGCACCACACCCCAAGGAACUCGAGGUGGAAAACGAGACCGGGGGAUAAGGAACCGAGAAGCCCGGCGUGUUGGGUCACAGCAGGGGAGAGUCAGGACUUCUGGUUGGGAAUGGCAUUUGCAAAGAUACCGAAUGUUCACGCUUUGCCUUGCACAGCUAUUUGCAUUCAGUAAGAGGAAAUUGUGGGUUUUAUUACCAAAAUGGUUGAUUAUGAAAAUGAUGAAGAUAAUGAUGUCCUUGGAAAUGACUCCAGCAUGUGAAGGUGGAGGAGGGGAGAACGAUGGGAGAGGAGGCUGGGAGUGGGGCAAGCAGAGUCUGGGUCCAAAAGGUCCCAGUGAGCCAGACAGGGAGUUUAAAUUUCAUCCUGGAAGCAGCAAGGCCCCUGGGAAGAAUUUCAAGCAGGAGAGGUGGGUGGCCAGCUCUGUUUUAACGAGAUCAUACCGGAGGCUGCGUUGAGGCUGGGUUGGAGUGAGGUUGACUGGAGUCUGGGAACAUUAGAAAGGUAACUGGCAGCUGGCCUCACUGGGGGGCAGGGGAAAGGGGGCACCACCUCACCUGGACUUGAGAUGAGCUGUGUCACAUCCAGGCCUCAAUUCUAUCAACUUGAGCUUAGUGUAUAUGAAUCCAAAAGGGAAUAAUGUCCACUGACUUCCCAGCUGUCUCCAGGAAUGAAGAUUGGCAACCUGGUCCCUCUCUUUUCUGAGGCCCUGGGCAGCCAGAGGGCCAGGGUCAUGGGCUUGGCUGUGGUAGGCAGAAUAAUGGCCCCCCCCAAAUACGUCAAGGUCCUAAUCCCCAGAAUGUGUGAGUAUGUCACUUUACAUGAUAAAAAAGACUUAGCAGAUGUGAUUAAGAUAAGGGUCUUGAGAUGGGGAGAUUAUCUUGGAUCAUCCCAGGUGAGAGGAUGCUGCACUGCUGGCUUUGAAGACGGAGGAAGCGGCCUUGAGCCUGGGCACGUAGGCACCUCUAGAAAGUAGAAAAGGAGCACAAACAGAGGCACUCUCAACAAGAAUAUACACCUAUGUGCUGGGGGGCUUUGGGAAGGGAAGAAAAAAUGAAAGUGGAAAAGGCAAAGAAUGGGACCCUCCCCUGCAGCCUCCAGAAGGGCCGGCUCUGUCUGUCGGCAUGACUUCAGCCCAGUGCCGCCGGCUCGGGACUUCCCACCUCCAGCAGCAGCACAAGACAGCAUGCGGCUUUACGCCACCAAGUUUGAGCUCAUCUUAGGAAUUGAAAGGAGGGUGUUCUUUUUCUUCCCUUAGUUCCUGCCCAGGGCCAGGACUAGCUGGAGGGGGACCAUCCAGGAAAGCUCCAAACCGUGUUUGUCCUGGAGGCUGAGGAGACGCCAACGGGUGAGAGAGGGAGGAGAGCGCACAGAUGCAGUGCAGACGCUGCCCUGGAGAGAACGCUGCUCCGGGCCAGGCUCGUGCUGGGCGCUCUCAUGGACUGCCUCACUCUCCUCUCAAUAACCAGGGGGAAACUGAGGCACACAGAUUUUAAGUAACUUGCCUGAGGCCGCACAGCUAUAAGCGGCAGAGCAGAGACCUGCCCCCGUGUGCCGCUGGAGCCCACGCUCUUUACCUUGCACUGUAUCCUAGGAGGAGCCGGGGGUGGGGGAGGCACUGUGGGGCGUUCCUCGAGUGGGAACCUGUGUCACCAGCCGCCCAAACUUCUGCUUGCCCGAGGUGUCUUGUCUCUCCCCGUUUCAGGAUAGCGGCGAAGGAAGGGGAAUUCCCUCUCUGUCUCUCUCUGUCUGUAUAACCCUUGACCCCUCUGCUGGAGCUUUCCCUGGAAAGGAUGUGACCCAAGAUGAGAUAUCAGGAAAGCAGGUGUGUCUGGCCGUGUUUGACCCUCAGCAGUUCUGUGGCCUUGACUUCAUCCUGAGCUAUCAGAGUGGGCAGGAGUAUAUUUCAGACGGGGAAACUGAGACCCAGAGUAGGAAUUGUCUUGCCCAGAAUGGUUUCUGCAAGGGGCAGUUUUCCACCCUCAGGAGGCCUCUUUGUCAUGGACUAUGGAGGUGGCAAAAGAGAUACAAUGCGUGUCUAUAACCAGGCUCUGCAGUGGCAUCUGAUGCGGCUUUUCUGGUCUGCCUCAGUCACAGAUUAUGAUAAAAAUUCCUGGUUCAGCCACUUAACUGGCUGAGUGACCCUGGGCAAGUUAUCCAACCCCUCUGUGCCUCAGUUUCAUCACCUAGAAAAUGGGGAUUACCUAUGUAAAGUGUUUCCUGCUCUGGUGGAUGAGGCGGGGGCAAAGAGACAAUGAUGCCAGUACCCAACACUUCCAAAACAGGGAGCGCUGGAUGGGCUCGGACCUGACGCCGAACCCCUUUCUGUUCUUUUUCUCCUCUCAGUUCUUCUCCCCAGAGUUUUCACAGGAAUUGAGAAUCGUCAGAGAGAGUUUGGUCACAUCCGGUUCUACCUGCCCCUGACAGGGGGAGCGGUGAGCCUUGGGAGCAUCUGGGAGGCCAGGGCUGCACACUCAGGGCUGCCAGCUCAGGGGGAGGUCCGGGUUUGCUGUGGGGGGGCAGCCAAUGCGGGGAGGAGCCAAGGGAAGCCCCUCCCCCGGGAGGUGUGGGCCCAGCCUUGCUCCUGUCCCGCUCUGGCUUCACUCUCUUGGGCUACAGAGACAUCCAUAAAUGAUGUGCCCUCUCUUAAUGACUGCAGCCACCAUGUGCAGGGGCUUUGACAGGGUUCACUUGGUGAGCCCAACAGGCCACUGAGGCAGUAAUGCCUAGCCCAUUUCAACAGCGGAAGAAGCAGGAGCCCACACACUCUGGCCCGCAGGCUCCAGAGGUCCUGCUCGGUCUAGCACUGCAUCCCUCCAUGCUCCCUCACUCAUCCCACUCCCGCCCCCUCCUGCGGGGCCGCCUCCGUGCUGGCCCCAGACAGACCCUGUGCUGAGGUCCCCCACCCUCGCACGUGUCCCCUACCCCUGUGUCACCUCUCUGAGCCCUUUCUUUAAGGUCAGUUUGAAGCUCCCUGCUUCCCUUCCUCCCUUCCACAAACCUUCCGAACAACUUCUGUCUCCCUCCUCGACAAAACCUCGAAUAGACCCCUGCACCCCCCGAGUUGUCAGAAGGGACAGCGUGGCCAGGAAGGGAUGGCACUUGUUGACGCUUGCCACAUGCUGCCUACUGUGCAAAACAGUUUACAUGUAUCACUCCAUUUGAUUCUCUUGGGAGGCAGGUGCUAUCAUUGUCCCAUUUUACAGAUGAGGAAACCGAGGCUUAAAAAGUUUAGGCUACCCACCCAAGAUCACAGAGGCAGGAAAUGGAAAAAUGUGGACCCAAACUCAGAUCCGUCUGAGCCUAAAGCUUGUGCUCUUUACCGCACAAUUUGGCCUCCUGCUCUCUAGGCGCCCCUCGCCAGGCUGGCCCUAUCUCCCUUCUAGGUCUCAUCUCCAUGGGCCCUCCUGUCAUUCACUCCAAUUGACUCCCCUUGCAUUUUCGUUCCUCUGGGCCUUUGUGCAUGCUAUUCCUUCUACCUGGAACACCUUUCCCUUUCUUUUGUGCCAUCAAAAGCCUUCCCAUGCAGGGAGCCCUUUCUCUGGGAGUCCCUCCUGGAGGCCCUGGCGGCUCCCACCUCCGACUGUGGAGAGAGCCACUUCCUUCCUGCUGGCCCUUGCAGCGUGCUUCUCUAUGUGACUGCAGCGUGCUGAGUCUGUGCUGGUGUCCAACUGCCACACAUUAACUGAGCACCCAUUUCGUGCCUGGCACUGGGGGCUCUUGGGACAUGGGGGUGAGCCAGAUAGGUGUGUCUCAGCUGUUGCAGCGUUUGCAGCCUUGGGGUGAGGAACAGGCCCAUGCUCAGGACCACACGGCGGCCUGAGUCUUGUGGUGGGGCAGGAUAAGGGGCUUCAAGUGCUCCCAAGAGGAGCACCUAUCCAGGACCAGGAUGGGCAGCAGGGCUCCAUGGAGCAAGUGGUAGUAAACCAAGGUGGAGAGAGUCAAGCCAGGAGGGGGUGAAGGGGGAAAGCAAUGUCUCAGGCAAAGGGAACAGCCUGUGCAAAGGCCCAGGGGUGAUAGAAAGCUAGGUGAGAUCAGAAUGCCACAGAGAUUGGCAUGGCCAGAAAAUAGAGCAUGCAAGGCAAGUGUUGCAAGAACACUCUGGAGAGGCGAGCUCCGACUCUGGCCAAAAACGUUUGCCAGAAUCUUGCCUCUCUCUCCCACUCAUCUGUGGGCUCAGGUGGCUUAGAGGACAGUGUGGCAUGGGAGUUAACAGCCUGGCCUUGCAGCCAGCAAACCCAGGUGUGGCUUGAGUGACUUCAGACAGCUGCUUACCUGUUCUGGGUCCCACUCUCAUCUUUUAAAUGGGAAUCAUCAUACCACCCCCUCCGAGGGCUUGGAGAGGACUGUGUAACGGAAGGGAUGAGCACAGUCUCUGGCCCACGGGAGCAGCUGAAUGCAGGGCUGCUGCAGCGAUGGCAAGAACACAUGGGAACGUGUUAGACACCAUGUUGCUGUUGUCACCAGUAUUCUUACCAUUAUUUCUGUUGUUGGAUCUGAGUCGUCUCUGCCUCUCUUAUGGAUGGCACCAAGGGCUCUGUUGCCUACCCAGCUCUGGGUCCUGGGGAAGGAGCCGGCAAGAUGGCGAGCGCCAGGAUCAUAGAACAACCCCUUUGCCCUCCGCAGCUGUGCGCGGGCCAGGGAAUGAGAGGUCUGUAGCCCUGUGGACUAGUCUGGCAGGGGCUCCGGACACAGAAUCCGGAUGCUAUGUGAACACCCCAGCCUGGCUGGGAAAGCUGCCCACCAGCCCGUCCCCCUCUGCCCUUAUAUGGCCUUCCCUUUCUUGGGGAUGAGUUGAACCUCCUCAGGGUUGGAUGUUCUCGUCCCCCUGCAGGACGCCAGGACGCCUGCUGGGGUGGUGAUUCUUUUCUUGUGGGCAUUCCCAUCUGAUCAAUUUUCUGCCCUCUCUGGCUGCUCUGAGCUGAGGGCUGCCCCCUAAGAACGCAUCACCCAGACCCCCUUGGGCUCUCAAUUCUGGCCGGAUCUGGCCACAGGGAAGCUGCAGCAGGAGAGAGGAGUGUACGGGGAGAGAGGUCAGGCAUCCAUCCCUCUCUCCGUCUGCUCCUUCUUCCACUGUCCUGACAUUGGCUGUGACCAGGACAGCUGUAGCUCCCUGGCUGCUCCUCCUUGGCUCCGGCUCUCAGGCCCCCCAGAGCACCUUCCUUCUCUUCUGCUUGAUCGCUAAGAGGGGUGUGGGCUUCCCGCUGCUCUAGGCCCGGGGGGGCUGCCUUGACCUCUCUUGCUGGUUUCCUUGACCUGCCCCCGCCUCUGAGCACAGCCCUGCUCCGCGCUGUUGCUGUCGCUGUCGCAGGCUGCCUGUCUCCCGCUGACUCCCAUCAGUGUUCCGCGGAGGCUGUCCAGGCUCCUCCAAGAGACCCCGCCCAGCCAGGACCAGGGUGCAGGGCUGCCCCUCUUCUCCUCUCCUGUAACCUGGGUGCCUCCUAAGAGGGCAGGCCAGGGUCCCACAUGGGCACUCGUCCUGGAGGGGUUGGAGCUGCCUGUGGGACUGCAGAGGAAGCCAGGAUUCCAUCACAGAGGGCCUCAGGGGCCAUGGGGGGAGGAUUUGGGGUUUUAAGAACAACAAGCUGUGGCAGAUUUUUGGGAUGGGGAUUGCCAUCCUCUGGUUUACAAAUGUAGAGGAUUUAUCUGCUGAGAGGUUCUAGACGGUCUGUGUAGACCCAGGGAAGCUAUCUGGGGUGCUGGGGCAGUAGUUGCCCUGUGACAUUAUGGGGCUCUGCCACCAUUAGAGACAUCUGCCACCUCCACUGUGAAGCCUCAGCUGGUCACCCACGAAGGGUUGAAGGCUUCCUUCCUGUGUGUUCACAAAACUUUGUCACAGCAGCUAUCACAGUCGCCCCUCCUCCUGUCCGCAGCGCGCCUCUGCCUCAGCGCCCGCUCACUCCCGGGUCCCAGCACGCGCAGGGCCUGCACACAGAGGGUGCGGUAGGGCUGGCGCUUCGCUGAACUGGUUGGGACUGUCUACCUUCAGUGCAAAUGCCUUUGAAGGUGCCUCCUGUUACAACAUGAGUAACUGUUAAGGGAUGCCCAGCGUCAGAUCAGCUUGCGCCGCCUUGUCAGGCAAGGAGAGACAGUGGACAUUGGCUGCGUGCUUCCCCACGCCGCCUCGUCCAGUCCACUUGCCAGCCCUGGGAACAGGCAGUCCUGCCCCGUUUCACAGAGGGGAAACGGAGGCUCAGAAGAGUGGUCUAACUUGGAUCAGGUCGCCCAGCUUGUGAGUGACAGAGCCUGGGUGCCAACCAGGUCUCUCUGUCUCCUAAAGCUGUCAGCGGAGCCAAACGCCGCCAGGAGAACUGGACCAGCCUGCUCAGGAAACUGGCCUGGAAAGGUACACUUUUGUUUUGUUUUGUUUUUGCUGAGGAAGAUUGGCCCUGAGCUAACAUCUGUGCCAGUCUUCCUCUAUUUUGUAUGUGGCUUUCUGUCACAGCAUGGCUGCCCACAAGUGGUGUAGGUCCACAUGUGGGAAGCAGACACGGGCUGCUGAAGUGGAGCACGUCAAACUCAACCACUGGGCCACGAGGCCGGCCCCUGGAAAGGUACCUUUUAAUAACAGUGAAGGAACAAAAGUUCAACAGUUGUGCCACGUCGCUUUGCGGAUGUCAGCUGCCACUCUGCUGCAGCUGAGGAGACAUGCUCUGGAGUAUCGGGCUCCUCUCUGCGGGCUGAGGACUUUGCGCGACCACUUCACAGCUCCUCCUCAGUUUCAGCGUCCUGCCUCUAAGAAGCUCCUGGACCUUCUGGGUCUUGGAUAGGCUCCUCUUGUACACGUCUAUGUAGUUCCUCGUGAUUGCCUACACGCACACACACACGUGUAUGUGUGUAUAUAUAGGUUAAGCCUUGAGAGUUCUGGAGCCAUCUCCAGGAGGGCCUGAGCACUGUCUCCUCCUACAGAGAAGGCUCGGCGGGGCUCGAGGUGUAGACCUGUUUUUAGUAGCCCGGAGUGGGAAGGGCCAAAGGGUGAAAGCUCCAGAGGGACAGUUUUUAGACUCUCUUCAGAGUCAGCCUGAGGAAGAACUUUCUAGCAGUGAGACUUUGUCCAGGAGGCAGCAGGCUCCUCGGGAACCUGCCGGCACAGGCUGGGAGAGGCAGCCCUGGAGGAGACCAGCCUCAGGGGGAGCCGGGAGGGGUGGGACUGGCUGUGAACUGACAGGCUGCUUCAUUCCGGGGCUGGAAGCUCUGUGAUGAUGGCAAACCCUCCGCUGAUUAAUUUCCUCCGGAGUGCUUGGCCCAUCACAUACGUGGCCUCAUUUAAUCUCUGUGGUAGCCCUGCAGGGUAGAUGCUGUCCAGUUGGUGCGUGAGGAAACAAGCCUUAGAGAAGUUAGGUAACUUGCCCAGGAGGACUUGGCAGAGCCAGGAUUUGAAUGUAAGCUGAGUCGGACCCGAAAGCUCCAUUUAAUAAGGCAGCUGCCACCACCUCCCCCAGGACUUAGGUUCCUACGAGCUUCACCCAAGUCACCAGCACAACUUAGUUCAUUUUGUUUCGCUUUUGUGUGCCUCAGUUUCCCCUCCAGGGGAAACUACCCCUUUGAUGUUGGAAGUCAGCCCGCAGGCUAGACCCAUCAGACUAGUCUGCUCUGGGAGAGUGGGGGCCUGGCCUGGGGCACAGACAGUUCCCAGACUGUUUGGUCCGUCCUAAGCUUCCCUUUAUCUCCUUCUAGAAGGAGUCCAUUGUUUACCAGCUUGUUACUGUGGCUCUGGGCGCAUUAUGGAUCCAAGCAGGUGACACGGAGCAUGGAGCUGCAGCCAAGAGAAGGUUUCAGAAAGACGUGGUCCCACCGUAGCAGUGAGCAGGCAGGAGAGUCAUCGCCCUCCCGGAAACCAAGCCCGCUUUGGAUUGUAGAGAACAGACCGCACAUCUGACACGCGAGUUUCCCAAUUCCUCCCGAUUUGUAGGCUGAGUUUGUAAAACUCUAAAUAUUUGUCUGACUUUUAAGACUGUUUUCUUCAAGUCUCAGUCGGAGACUCUGGAGGGAAACGCCUAGAGCCCCGGGCCGGCGCUGGGCUGGGAGCUGGUGCCCGGAAGUCGCUCCUGCUUCCUGGGUUUGGUGAGCACCUCCUCAUCAGAUUGCCCUGGAAACCUCCACGAGCUGCCAUCAGACAGAUGGGUCUCCUUCUGCAUGGGGAGGGCUGAGGCCCAGGACCUCCAGCACAUGUCCCAUCCUCUUUGCUGGACCAUUCUGCUGCUCGUGGCAUGACCCUGGCACAGUGGCCACGUGGGAUUAAUUCCAAACCUCUGACCUGGCUUUGCGCAUGCCGUUCCUUCUUCUUAGACUCUCCUUCCCUCACCUCCUCUGAACUCAGGGCUCUCCAACUUCAUCCUCAGGACUCAGUGUGGUUCCUCCUCUGGGACGAGGCUCUAAGGGGGAAGUGGCUGUCGGCUCUGUGCUCCUUUCUAGCAUCAGCCCCUUUCUUGUCAUCUUUGCGUGUCCCUGUUUCUCAUCUGGGAGCUCCUUCAGAGCAGGGCGUUGUUGUUCAUUUAAAGAUCUUUAGGCCCUGACAUAGGGCCCAGUCUGCGGCUGGUACUCAGUGAAAGAAGGACUUCAAGAGGAGUCCUGAAUUUUAAACUUUUUGCUCAAAUGAACAGGGCACUCGGGCCUUCACAGAAAGAGUGGUAGGAUGAGGGGUGCGUGGACUGCUGUUUAGGAGACCCCUCGGGCCGAUCUGGGUCAGCCCCCAUUAUUCUGCACCUGAGAAAGUGGGAGCUUAGUGACAUCCCAGCUGCAUGUGUUGCUGGCAGAGCUGAGGUCUCCCCACUCUCAGUCCAGUGCCCAAUCUGUGAUCUCAGGAUGUCCCUCGUCCUCAUGAGAAUGAGCUGCAGCAAAGACAUGGCUGGUGGCGUGGAGAAAGGCAUCCAGGGACAAGAUACUGGGAGUGACAAAAGUCCCUGGAGUGUGGCUUGCCAUCUUGGCAGCAGGCUGCCUGGCAGACUGGAGGAUGCUAAUGAGAAGAAAGCCUCGGGAGUGCCAUGGCAGGAGCUCUGGGUUGCAGACUUGGGCUUCUCAGGCCAGACCCGCUGGCCCGAGUCAGCUCAGGAACCAGGGAAAAGUGCCACAGAGCCGUCCCCAAACCAAAGGCUUCAGGCUCCUUGCAGUUGGGCAUCUGGCCAGAUGUUAAGAAAAGGGGACAUUGCAAAGAACUCUAGCAGGAGGAAGUGGUUUGAGUUUCCUGCUUGAAGGAGGAUGCUUCAUUUAAAUAGAAUUCGGUAGAAUUAAGUAGAAGGGGGAAGUCUCUCGAGCCCUCUGCUUGGACCUGGAAGUCUGCUUCUUGCAGAGAAAGAGGAUUCAGAAAUGGCUUCCCAGGGAACCAGAUUUUACCCCAAAUUCUCAAUCGGGGUGGGGAUGGAUGUAACAGAAAACGUUUCCAACUACUGAGCCCCUGUUCUGUGUUGGGUACUUCUCUCAGUUAGUGCUUCUCCCCAAAUCCUCGUGGAAACUCAGGUUCCCAGAGGGGAAGUGAUUUGCCGCAGAAGACACAGCAAGGCAGGCUGGCACUCGGACCCACUCCCGGCUGACCGCCUCGCCACGUCCGCUCCCAAAGCCGGCUGGCCUCCCUGGGCCUGCGGGCCUCAGUCUGAGUGAGCUUCUCUCGUCUGUGAGCUGACAGUCACCAGGCCAGGCCCCUCCCUGCUUUGCAAAGCUCAGUUUUGCACAGCUAACCUCUUCAGUAGACCUCAGGGAGGUUCGACCGUGAGGGCCUGAGGACAGGGUCUGGGGUGCAUCACCUCUGUCUUCCCCGCACUGGCUCAAGGGCCUGGACCCAGUAGACGCACGGAAACAAUGGUCCCCGUGCCAGGAUCUUCUGUGUGGUAGCUCACUUCAUUCCCACACUGAGCCGGGGCCUGGGUUUGUCAUGCUCAUGUCUGAGAUGGGAAAACAGACUCAGGAAGAGAAGUAAUUUUCUCAGGAUAUGUUGCUUGAUUGUCUUUUAAAAAUAAAGGUAUUCCCUGAGUAUGGUAUAAGUAAGAUGUUUUAGGACACUUCUCUGCAAGAAGUAGCAUAUUUACUUGUAUUUCUAAAUCAAAUAAAUUUGGCUUGCCACGCCCACCUGCAUUUGGCAGGAAAUUCCGUCUCAGCGUGUGGGGUGGAGGUCGCCCCGAAUGCGGGAGUUUAUAGGGGAUGGUGUUUAGACAAGAGUCUGCCUCUGGCCUUCAGCUCCAAGACGUUCCAAUCACAGGGCAAUGCUAAUCAAGCGACGCUUUGGAGCCACUUCCCAGAGUGGCCUGGGAACGCCCCCGCAGGUCAGGUGCUGUUCGAAGAGUUGGCACGGUGUGAGAUUUUUAACCUCAGUGGGUGACGAUGGCCUCCUUCUUCCGCCCUCCCCCCAUCACACAUCCUCUGUUGGGUAAGUUGUAUUGGCCGUGGGCGUUUUAUAUUUGUAAUGUUCUUUUCUUAAAGAAAGCUCCUCAAAAUGCAUAUAUUCAGGUCCCACAAAACCUAGAUGUGCUCCUGCCUGCUUCGUUCACGGUGGCAGUCCCUCCACACGUGCCCUGAGCUGCCUUCCUGGUGGCCCUGGAGCCGUGGCUCUUCCUGUGAAAUCUUCGGCUUUUCCUCUUACCCUUUCAGAGGUUCCACCUUCCUGGAUGGGGGUGCUAUGUGGAAAUGGGAUACUGGUCACCCAUUUUGGAAACAGCAGCUUCCACAGUUUAUUUUGCCAUCUUGGAGAAGCCUUGCCGAGGUUAGGCCAUUCCCCAUUUUCAAGCACAGAGGAAAGGGUACAGAGGCCUUUGCACACACAAUGUCACAGUCAAGGUCAGAAUGUCACAAAGUCACAGGGUCACAGUUAAGGUCACAGUGCCACCAUCAAGGUCACAGGGUCACAGUCAAGGUCAGAGGGAAGGCCAGCAGUGAGACAGCAGCAGGUUGGAUGUGGCUGUCUUCAUUCUCUUAGAUGAAGUUCAAGGCAAAGGUCUCUGACAGUCCUUGGAAGAGAAUGUCCAGCUUGUUUUCCUGCCCAGAGCCUAGUAAACAGGACAACUGGAAUCUGUGGUGGCCUCAGGACACAUGGACUGCAGCCUGGCUGGCCGUGGGAGAGAAGGCAGUGUGGAAAUGGCUGACAUUAGGACCCACCCUGGCCUCUGCACUUGAUCCCCAAGGAAAUUCCUCUUCUGGGACAACCUGUCUCAGGCACUUGGAAUCUGUAUCUUGGGUCAGAAAAUAUGCACAGCCUUUGACCCAACGAUUCUACUUCUAGGAACGCAAUAAGAAGGAUAGUUGCUGAUGUGUGCAAAGAUAUAUGUCCAAGGGUGUUCAACGUAGUGUUGUUUGUAAUAGAGAAAAAGUGGAAGCAACUCAAAUAUCCAGCAAUGGUGGUAAGUCAGGAAACUUGUGUUGCUACAGUGCAUCUAUAUGAUGGAAAAAUAUUAGCCAUUAAUAAUCAUGUGGUAAAGGAAUGUGUAUUGAUAUGGAAUUUUCAGAAUAUUUUGCCAAAUGAAAAAAGGCUAUCAAACAGCAUGUACUGCCUGUUCUUACUUAAUCAUAUAAUUACAUAUUACGCUGAGGUUAACUGAACACUUACUGGAUGCCAGGCAUGGCUCUAAGCAUUUAAAAUACAGUCAUACAUUUCAUCGUGCAACGUCUAUGAAGAAGAUAUUUUUAUUAUCUAUAUAUUACACAUAAGGCACCUGAGACACAGAGCAUUUAAGUAAUUCGCCCAAGGUCACACAGUAGUAAGUGGCAGAACCUGAAUGUGACUAAGGCAGCUGGGGUCCGGAGCCAUGCCUACACCACUAAGCUGGCCCUGCUCUCUCUUCCUGUGUGUGUGCAUGUUUGUAUAGUUUUCUCUCUCUUUCUCAGAGGCUUUACACCAAAAUGUUAGCUGUGUCUUCAGUCAUCCCUUCCUCAAACAAGAUACAGCAGAUGUUUCCAUGAUGCGAGGGGAUGCUGCAGCUACUGCGGCACUGGGGGACAUCUGCGCCUUGAGCACAGAGACCACGCCACGUGCCUGUGUGGACUCCACAUGGGCACGUCCCCAAUUCACCAAUUCAGCAAACAGUGACUAGGCACCCAUUCUGUGCAGGCCUUGUUCUAGGUUUUGAGGAUUCAAAAGUGAACAGGGAAGGCACACAGGACAAUUCUCCCAUAAAACUGACAUCCCAGUGGGGAGGCAGAGAGGUGACCAGUAAGUAAACAGCCAAGAAAAACACCAGCUGGAGAUCAGUGUUGUUGGGAUCUGAAAUUAGAAGAGUACGAGAGAGUGGGACCACAGCUACAGGGGUUAAAUGGCCAGGAAAGGGGACUUUUUAGAGGUGGCAUCUCAGCUGAGACUUGAAUGACCAGAAGAAACAAGAUAUUUGUCUAUAUCCGUAAUGUAUCUAUGUCUAUCUCUAUCUACCUAUCUACCUACCUACCUAUCUAUCAUCUAUCUGUCCAUCACCUAUCUAAUCUGAGAGAGAGAGAUAAAUCAAACCCAGUAAAAUGUUAACAUUUGGGGAAUCUGGGUGAAGUGUAC